GUCAGGAUGGCCGAGUGGUCUAAGGCACUAGAUUCAAGUUCUGGUCUCCAAAUGGAGGCAUGGGUUCAAAUCCCACUUCUGACA